rnacentral:rRNA from 1 species
AUUGAACGCUGGCGGCGUGCCUAAUACAUGCAAGUCGAGCGAAUGGAUUAAGAGCUUGCUCUUAUGAAGUUAGCGGCGGACGGGUGAGUAACACGUGGGUAACCUGCCCAUAAGACUGGGAUAACUCCGGGAAACCGGGGCUAAUACCGGAUAACAUUUUGAACCGCAUGGUUCGAAAUUGAAAGGCGGCUUCGGCUGUCACUUAUGGAUGGACCCGCGUCGCAUUAGCUAGUUGGUGAGGUAACGGCUCACCAAGGCAACGAUGCGUAGCCGGCCUGAGAGGGUGAUCGGCCACACUGGGACUGAGACACGGCCCAGACUCCUACGGGAGGCAGCAGUAGGGAAUCUUCCGCAAUGGACGAAAGUCUGACGGAGCAACGCCGAGUGGGUGAUGAAGGCUUUCGGGUCGUAAAACUCUGUUGUUAGGGAAGAGCAAGUGCUAGUUGAAUAAGCUGGCACCUUGACGGUACCUAACCAGAAAGCCACGGCUAACUACGUGCCAGCAGCCGCCGCAGUAA